rnacentral:lncRNA from 1 species
UGUUUGACUCUCUGUCACAUGUGUGGAGGUGCUUUUGGAGAGAAAAGCUCAGGUCCCCUGGAGCUGGAGUCACGGGUGAUUACGAGCCGCCCAGUGUGGGUGUUGUGAACUGAUCCUGGGUCCACUGCAAGGGCUGCAAGUGCUCUUAACUGCUGAGCCAUCUCCUCAUACCCUCUGAAAGCAUUUGGAUACAAGUGAAGAAAAAGCGAGAGCAAGCCAUGUGGACAGCUGGAAGCACAAGUGGAAAGGCAAGUCAUAUGACUUGGGCUCAAGAGCAACUCUCUGGCUGCUGUGUUGAGAUUAGACUAAAGGAGGUCAAAGAAAGAAACGGGACAAAAUUAAGACGCCAUUACAAUAACACAGGUAGAAAAUGGAGGCAGCUGAAACCACGGUAGUGGGAGCGAAAAUGCUAUGUAUAUAUUGAAGGAGAAGAGAACGGAAUUUUCUCAAGUGCUGUGCUUAGACAAGGGCUGAUUUUAACUGGGUGUGUCCUUCUUAUACAACUUAUGAGUUCUUUCUUUUUUUUUUAAAGAUUUAUUUUAUUUAUUAUAUAUAAGUACACUGUAGCUG